GGCUUCCUCAAUGGUAUAACAGACAGGCUAGGGAGCCCCAGUGCCUGCUGACCAGUGUCCUGGGUUUCAACCCCCCGGCUUCUGAAUCUCCCCCUUUGCUUAGGAGUUGAGCCUAGCCCACUUGGGAUUUGCAUUCACUGCCUGACCAGCGCCCCAUCCCAUUUCUAUUCCUACCUCUCCCCUUGCCUUCCCUUUUUCAUCUUCCGUUCAUCCAUCUUGCUAACUGACGGAUGUGUUUCCAUUACUGCCAACAUUCACAUUAAAACUCUCUGACCUUUAUGUCGCUUUUUUUCUGUUCUUUCUAGAGCACUUUUACUUACACGAAUGCUUCUUCAACUGAAUACACACAACCCUUGGGGGCUCCCACCCGUGGGCCAGGGAGUAUGCAGAGCCACAUGACAAACACGGCCCAUCUUGCUGGCACUGAAAUUACCC
rnacentral:lncRNA from 10 species